rnacentral:rRNA from 1 species
CGGUAAUUCCAGCUCCAAUAGCGUAUAUUAAAAUUGUUGCGGUUAAAACGCUCGUAGUUGGAUAUUUGUUGAGAACUGCCGGUCUACCCCAGUGGUCAGCACACGGUUUGUUCUCGGCACUUUCCUGGGGAGAGUGUUUGCACUUCACUGUGUGGCACAUGAUCCAGAACUUUUACUUUGAGGAAAUGAGAGUGUUUCAAGCAGGCGCCUGUCGUGAAUACGUUAGCAUGGAAUAAUAGCAUGGGACCGCGGUCUGAAGCUGUUGGUUUUCGGGCCGUGGUAAUGAAAAUAGGGAUAGUUGGGGGUAUUCGUAUUUAACUGUCAGAGGUGAAAUUCUUGGAUUUUUUAAAGACGGACUACUGCGAAAGCAUCUGCCCAGGAUGUUUUUAUUGAUCAAGAACGAAAGUUAGGGGAUCGAAGACGAUCAGAUACCGUCCUAGUCUUAACCUUAAACCAUGCCGACUAGAGAUUUGGGUCGUCAGAAUCGUGACGCCCUGAGCACCUUAGGGGAAACCAAAGUCUUCGGGUUCCGGGGGGAGUAUGGUCGCAAGGCUGAAACUUAAAGGAAUUGACGGAAGGGCACCACCAGGAGUGGAGCCUGCGGCUUAAUUUGACUCAACACGGGGAAACUUACCAGGUCCGGACAUAGAGAGGAUUGACAGACUGAUAGCUCUUUCUUGAUUCUAUGGGUGGUGGUGCAUGGCCGUUCUUAGUUGGUGGAGUGAUUUGUCUGGUUAAUUCCGUUAACGAACGAGACCUUAACCUGCUAAAUAGUUUCCAGAACCAUAUAGUUUCAGGAUGAUUUCUUAGAGGGACUUUGUGUGUGUAACGUGAGGAAGUGUGAGGCAAUAACAGGUCUGUGAUGCCCUUAGAUGUUCUGGUCCGCACGCGCGCUACACUGAUGCGUUCAACGAGCUCCUAACCUACUCCGGAAGGAUUGGGCAACCUUGUGAAAGCGCAUCGUGAUGGGGAUAGAUUAUUGCAAUUAUUAAUCUUGAACGAGGAAUUCCUAGUAAGCGUAAUUCAUCGGAUUGCGCUGAUUACGUCCCUGCCCCUUGUACACACCGCCC